GACGAACGCUGGCGGCGUGCCUAAUACAUGCAAGUCGAACGCAGUGGGGACGGGUGAGUAACACGUGGGUAACCUCCCGUCAGAGGGGAGAACACUUGGAAACAGGUGCUAAACCGAUACUGAUGGAUGGCCCCGCGGGGCAUUAGCUAGUUGGAGGGGUAACGGCUCACCAAGGCCACGAUGCUUAGCCGACCUGAGAGGGUGAUCGGCCACACUGGAACUGAGACACGGCCCAGACUCCUACGGGAGGCAGCAGUAGGGAAUCUUCGGCAAUGGACGAAAGUCUGAUCGAGCAAUGCCGCGGGAGUGAAGAAGGUUUUCGGAUCGUAAAACUCUGUCGUCAGAGAAGCGGUAUCUAACCAGAAAGCCCCGGCUAACUACGUGCCAGCAGCCGCGGUAAUAC
rnacentral:rRNA from 1 species